rnacentral:lncRNA from 1 species
CUGCCCCGCCCGCGUGCGCGCGCCGCUCCGCCUCCCGCCUCCAGCCUCUAGUCCGCUGGGUUCGGAGGAGCAGAGGCGGAAGGUCCCGGCGGCGGCGAGGAUGCGCCCCAGGGCGGGAGCGGGACGCUCCACUUUACCCUGGCUGCCCGCAACGGGCCAGGCCUGCCGUCUCUACCUCUCUACCUGUGAGUUUUUUCCCUGCAUUUACUUCAGUCUGCCGCGUCUUCUCCCCGCCCUUCUCUGUAAGGUUGUAUCCACGAGUACCAGCAGAGUGCCUGACACAUAGUAGACAUAAAUCAGGCUGAAGAAUGACCAUGAUGGAGAAUUGAGAAACAAGACCAUCUGCAUCAACAGGAAUUUGGUAGCUGAUCUAGGAAUGCAGCCUGAAGAAAUCAGCACCUCCUAGAUACAGAAUGAACAGAAGGGCUCAGAAGAAAUAUGAGGACAAAUAGGUAUGCUAGACUGAGGCAGAAGAGGCUUGAAUAUUGACUUCAUCUUUUAAGAUAACUCCCCAGAUGAGAAACCUGACGCUCAGAGAGAUGAAGUUAAUUGCCAAGGUUACCCAACCACAGGCAAACACACAAG